rnacentral:rRNA from 1 species
GGGGCAACGGACGAAAGGAAUCAUCACCCUGUGACAUACCUAAACGUUGCUUCGGCGGGAACAGACGGCCCCGUGAAACGGGCCGCCCCCGCCAGAGGACCCCUAACUCUGUUUCUAUAAUGUUUCUUCUGAGUAAAACAAGCAAAUAAAUUAAAACUUUCAACAACGGAUCUCUUGGCUCUGGCAUCGAUGAAGAACGCAGCGAAAUGCGAUAAGUAAUGUGAAUUGCAGAAUUCAGUGAAUCAUCGAAUCUUUGAACGCACAUUGCGCCCGCCAGUAUUCUGGCGGGCAUGCCUGUUCGAGCGUCAUUACAACCCUCAGGCCCCCGGGCCUGGCGUUGGGGAUCGGCGGAGCCCCCCGUGGGCACACGCCGUCCCCCAAAUACAGUGGCGGUCCCGCCGCAGCUUCCAUCGCGUAGUAGCUAACACCUCGCGACUGGAGAGCGGCGCGGCCACGCCGUAAAACACCCAACUCUUCUGAAGUUGACCUCGAAUCAGGUAGGAAUACCCGCUGAACUUAAGCAUAUCAAUAAGCGGAGGAA